GAGUCCGCGUUUCAUUAGCUUGUUGGCGGGGUAACGGCCCACCAAGGCAACGAUGGGUAGCCGAUUUGAGAGGAUGAUCGGCCACACUGGAACUGAAACACGGUCCAGACUCCUACGGGAGGCAGCAGUGGGGAAUAUUGCGCAAUGGGCGAAAGCCUGACGCAGCGACGCCGCGUGAGGGAUGAAGGUUUUCGGAUCGUAAACCUCUGUCAGAAGGGAAGAAACUMCGUUGUGCUAAUCAGCAGCGUACUGACGGUACCUUCAAAGGAAGCACCGGCUAACUCCGUGCCAGCAGCCGCGGUAAUACGGAGGGUGCAAGCGUUAAUCGGAAUUACUGGGCGUAAAGCGCACGUAGGCCGUAGUGUAAGUCAGGGGUGAAAUCCCACGGCUCACACCGUGGAACUGCCUUUGAUACUGCACAACUUGAAUCCGGGAGAGGGUGGCGGAAUUCCAGGUGUAGGASUGAAAUCMGUAGAUAUCC
rnacentral:rRNA from 1 species